CCUACGGGAGGCAGCAGUGAGGAAUAUUGGUCAAUGGACGAGAGUCUGAACCAGCCAAGUAGCGUGAAGGAUGACUGCCCUAUGGGUUGUAAACUUCUUUUAUAUGGGAAUAAAAUGUUCCACGUGUGGGAUUUUGUAUGUACCAUAUGAAUAAGGAUCGGCUAACUCCGUGCCAGCAGCCGCGGUAAUACGGAGGAUCCGAGCGUUAUCCGGAUUUAUUGGGUUUAAAGGGAGCGUAGGUGGAUUGUUAAGUCAGUUGUGAAAGUUUGCGGCUCAACCGUAAAAUUGCAGUUGAAACUGGCAGUCUUGAGUACAGUAGAGGUGGGCGGAAUUCGUGGUGUAGCGGUGAAAUGCUUAGAUAUCACGAAGAACUCCGAUUGCGAAGGCAGUUCACUGGACUGCAACUGACACUGAGGCUCGAAAGUGUGGGUAUCAAACAGGAUUUGAUACCCGUGUAGUC
rnacentral:rRNA from 1 species